CAUCUAGAUUAGACUUUGAUCCUGGCUCAGAUUGAACGCUGGCGGCAUGCUUUACACAUGCAAGUCGAACGGCAGCGCGGGGCAACCUGGCGGCGAGUGGCGAACGGGUGAGUAAUAUAUCGGAACGUACCCAAGAGUGGGGGAUAACGCAGCGAAAGUUGCGCUAAUACCGCAUACGAUCUAAGGAUGAAAGCAGGGGACCGCAAGGCCUUGUGCUCCUGGAGCGGCCGAUAUCUGAUUAGCUAGUUGGUGAGGUAAUGGCUCACCAAGGCGACGAUCAGUAGCUGGUCUGAGAGGACGACCAGCCACACUGGAACUGAGACACGGUCCAGACUCCUACGGGAGGCAGCAGUGGGGAAUUUUGGACAAUGGGCGCAAGCCUGAUCCAGCAAUGCCGCGUGAGUGAAGAAGGCCUUCGGGUUGUAAAGCUCUUUUGUCAGGGAAGAAACGGCGCCGGCUAAUAUCCGGCGCUAAUGACGGUACCUGAAGAAUAAGCACCGGCUAACUACGUGCCAGCAGCCGCGGUAAUACGUAGGGUGCAAGCGUUAAUCGGAAUUACUGGGCGUAAAGCGUGCGCAGGCGGUUUUGUAAGUCUGACGUGAAAUCCCCGGGCUUAACCUGGGAAUUGCGUUGGAGACUGCAAGGCUAGAAUCUGGCAGAGGGGGGUAGAAUUCCACGUGUAGCAGUGAAAUGCGUAGAGAUGUGGAGGAACACCGAUGGCGAAGGCAGCCCCCUGGGUCAAGAUUGACGCUCAUGCACGAAAGCGUGGGGAGCAAACAGGAUUAGAUACCCUGGUAGUCCACGCCCUAAACGAUGUCUACUAGUUGUCGGGUCUUAAUUGACUUGGUAACGCAGCUAACGCGUGAAGUAGACCGCCUGGGGAGUACGGUCGCAAGAUUAAAACUCAAAGGAAUUGACGGGGACCCGCACAAGCGGUGGAU
rnacentral:rRNA from 1 species